rnacentral:rRNA from 1 species
GAUGAACGCUGGCGGCGUGCCUAAUACAUGCAAGUCGAGCGAAUGGAUUAAGAGCUUGCUCUUAUGAAGUUAGCGGCGGACGGGUGAGUAACACGUGGGUAACCUGCCCAUAAGACUGGGAUAACUCCGGGAAACCGGGGCUAAUACCGGAUAAUAUUUUGAACUGCAUGGUUCAAAAUUGAAAGGCGGCUUCGGCUGUCACUUAUGGAUGGACUCGCGUCGCAUUAGCUAGUUGGUGAGGUAACGGCUCACCAAGGCAACGAUGCGUAGCCGACCUGAGAGGGUGAUCGGCCACACUGGGACUGAGACACGGCCCAGACUCCUACGGGAGGCAGCAGUAGGGAAUCUUCCGCAAUGGACGAAAGUCUGACGGAGCAACGCCGCGUGAGUGAUGAAGGCUUUCGGGUCGUAAAACUCUGUUGUUAGGGAAGAACAAGUGCUAGUUGAAUAAGCUGGCACCUUGACGGUACCAAACCAGAAAGCCACGGCUAACUACGUGCCAGCAGCCGCAGUAA